AACGCAUGUUGCGCUCCCGUGGUCACCCCCCGGGAGCACGUUCGCUUGAGUGCCGCUUCCUUUUCAUCUCUAAUCUCUCUCUCUUAUUUCCAUAGAGAGAGAGAGAGAGGAGGACACAGGUUUUGCACACGCAGCCGCCAUAUGUGUGGUGUGUGCGUGCAUGACCUUAGAUAGUGGUAUUAUUAUUAUAUCAUUAUAGUGAUGAUGGUGGUGUGGACACACACACACACACAAACAGGAGAAAAUACACAUCAACACAACUAACAACGCACACGAGGAAAGUGAGAUGGUGGGCGUAUGUAUAUACACAUACACACAACACUCCCAUUUUCUUCUGUUGAUAGUUGGUGUAUUUAUAUAUUGUUUGUGUGUGUGUGUGUGUGUUGUGUAUAAUAUACACGCACACACACACACACACAUUCAUAUCACAUUAUUCUUAUUUACCCGGCCUCAAGUCGAGCGACAGCACCCGCUGAAUUUAA
rnacentral:misc_RNA from 1 species